AGCAGCCGCCGCGGGAAUACGAAGGGUGCAAGCGUUAAUCGGAAUUACUGGGCGUAAAGCGUGCGUAGGCGGUGAGUUAAGUCUGCUGUGAAAUCCCCGGGCUCAACCUGGGAAUGGCAGUGGAUACUGGCUCGCUAGAGUGUGUCAGAGGAUGGUGGAAUUCCCGGUGUAGCGGUGAAAUGCGUAGAGAUCGGGAGGAACAUCAGUGGCGAAGGCGGCCAUCUGGGACAACACUGACGCUGAGGCACGAAAGCGUGGGGAGCAAACAGGAUUAGAUACCCGAGUAGUCCCUGUCUCUUAUAC
rnacentral:rRNA from 1 species